GGAGCCUUGGCGCAAUGGUAGCGCGUUGGUUUUCGGUUGAAAACAUAAAACACCAAAGGUAUGAUCUAAUCCCUAAAAAGCUCCACAUGUCUAACGUUCCUCGAAACAGGUUGUGGGUUCGAUCCCCAUGGGCUUCG